UACGUAGGUGACAAGCGUUGUCCGGAUUUACUGGGCGUAAAGAGCGCGCAGGCGGUCGAUCAAGUCGAGUGUGAAAGCCCCCGGCUCAACUGGGGAGGGUCAUUCGAUACUGAUCGACUCGAAGGCAGGAGAGGGUAGUGGAAUUCCCGGUGUAGUGGUGAAAUGCGUAGAGAUCGGCAGGAACACCCAGGGGGAAACCAGCCGGCUGGGGACGUGCUGACGCUCAGGGGCGAAAGCGUGGGGAGCGAACCGG
rnacentral:rRNA from 1 species